rnacentral:rRNA from 1 species
AACGGCCGUACCAUGCUGAAUAUACCGGUUCUCGUUAGAUCACCGAAGUUAAGCAUCAUUGGGCGCGGUCAGUACUUGGGUGGGUGGCCACCUGGAAACACUGCGUGCCGUU